rnacentral:rRNA from 1 species
GACGAACGCUGGCGGCGUGCUUAACACAUGCAAGUCGAACGAUGAACUUGGAGCUUGCUCUGGGGGAUUAGUGGCGAACGGGUGAGUAACACGUGAGUAACCUGCCCUGGACUCUGGGAUAACUUCGAGAAAUCGGAGCUAAUACCGGAUAGGACCUUGCACCGCAUGGUGUGGGGUGGAAAGUUUUUCGGUUUGGGAUGGACUCGCGGCCUAUCAGCUUGUUGGUGAGGUAAUGGCUCACCAAGGCGUCGACGGGUAGCCGGCCUGAGAGGGUGACCGGCCACACUGGGACUGAGACACGGCCCAGACUCCUACGGGAGGCAGCAGUGGGGAAUAUUGCACAAUGGGCGCAAGCCUGAUGCAGCAACGCCGCGUGCGGGAUGACGACCUUCGGGUUGUAAACCGCUUUUAGUAGGGAAGAAGCCUUCGGGUGACGGUACCUGCAGAAAAAGGACCGGCUAACUACGUGCCAGCCGCCGCAGUAAUAC